UCUCCUGGAAAACGGGUGGUAAUGCCGGAUGCUCCGACUCCUCGCAUGGGGUGUCGGGAAAGAUUUCAUCGGUAUGGGAUGGGGUCGCGUCCUAUCAGGUAGUCGGCGGGGUAACGGCCCACCGAGCCUACGACGGGUAGCCGGCCUGAGAGGGCGACCGGCCACAUUGGGACUGAGAUACGGCCCAGACUCCUACGGGAGGCAGCAGUGGGGAAUAUUGCACAAUGGGCGCAAGCCUGAUGCAGCGACGCCGCGUGCGGGAUGACGGCCUUCGGGUUGUAAACCGCUUUUGAUCGGGAGCAAGCCUUCGGGUGAGUGUACCUUUCGAAUAAGCACCGGCUAACUACGUGCCAGCAGCCGCGGUAAUACGUAGGGUGCAAGCGUUAUCCGGAAUUAUUGGGCGUAAAGGGCUCGUAGGCGGUUCGUCGCGUCCGGUGUGAAAGUCCAUCGCUUAACGGUGGAUCUGCGCCGGGUACGGGCGGGCUGGAGUGCGGUAGGGGAGACUGGAAUUCCCGGUGUAACGGUGGAAUGUGUAGAUAUCGGAAAAGAACACCAGGC
rnacentral:rRNA from 1 species